CAAAGGUGCACGUUCUCCCCACGUGCCAAGAGAGUUGUAGCUUACGUCAUACGUGGGCUGAAGAGUAAUUCUAACAACUUCAGUCACCUGGAAUGAGUUGAGGCUAAACAGUCGCAGAAAUCAAAGUGUAAUACACAUUGUUGCAAAAUAUAAGCCCUUUAACACGAGGAAAACGGGAGCAAAUUCAAAAGUGAACAGAAGCCAGGCCAACACAUCAGACACUCCCACCUGCCAGCAUGAUGCCGCUAAUAAAACAGCAGUCAUCGAACACAGAUCCCAUCUGCUGUAAAGAGUGUGGAAAAUGUCUUUUUUCCCAUGGCUCCAGGGUCACCAAGGCACCCAUCAACUACAGGAAUGAGUUCCGGCCGACAGAAGGCAACAAGUCCAAUACAAAUGAUUUCAAAUUCUUUGUCCCAGGAAACCUCUCGGCAAGGGUCCCGAACUCCACCGGGGUGUUAUCGUGUAAAUGCGGCAGGAACUGGGAGACCAGCUACACGGUUGAUUAUAAUGCCUAUCCCAUCCAGCAGAACAUAGUUCGUAAGACCAUGGUGUACAGGGCACCAACUGCAAAGAUGGAUGGCCACACAGAAUAUAAAGAGAAGUUCCAUCCCUGGGAAAUCAUAAAGCGAGACCCCUUCUGGCAUAAAGAUAACCUGAAGCCAAGUAAGGCAAAGUUUCAAAGCACCACUACAUUUCAAGAUGAAUUCUACGCCAAGCCCAUGCCUAGCUCUCGACACAACUUCAAGCCAAUUCCUAGACGCAAGGAGUCUGCGCCCAUGGAGGUCAUGACCACUUACAGGGAGCACUAUGUCCUUCACCCGGCGCAACCCACACAGCAGCCGCCCUUGAAGCCCAGCAUCAUCUGCCUCAGCUGUCUUGGCACACACAGACCUGGUUACAGCAACCUGCGAGAGGAAGCUGCUAUGCUGGUUGCACCCAAAGCUGCAUGGGAGAGUAGCACCACUCCCUUUCAAACUUCUAUGGAGAGCAUCUCCUCCAAUCAUGCUAACCUCCUGGGUCACCAGGACUUGUCCACAGUGUCCAAUCAGCCCCCU
rnacentral:lncRNA from 1 species